rnacentral:lncRNA from 1 species
AGAGGUUAAGGCCCGACUUCUGCUCCCGGCCGACCCGGGUUCAAAUCCGCCUGCCGGCUCUUCAGGUGUCUGAGGAGUGAUGCAAUGGGAGGGGGCCCACCAUCAUAUGGACGAUGUAGGACGUGAUAAAAUCAACUUGCGAGCUAAUCAGGAACUAAAUUGAUGCGCCGUUGAUCCGCUAGGUUUGGUUGGAUGCUGGUGGCGAGUUGCCGAACCCAACGAAUACAUUCUGAAGUCGGAUGGGGUGACGGAUUAGGGUGCCCCUCUAGCAGGGGAGAGCAGGGACUGCCCCGGGAAAGGGGGCCGCUGGCGAAGUUAACCACCCUGUAACAACAUACAUACACGGCGUAUUGGUAUCUGAAUAACGCCUUUCUGCAAGAUUAAAAUCAUGCUUGCAACAGUUGUAAGGAUAUACUAUAAUGGUUCUUCCCACCCACGCACGCUCUCUCGCUCUGUGUAAUGCAAUUCGUUGCGUGUUUCUUUUCCUGACCGUGAGGCACCCCCCCUUGAGGCAAACUGAUGCUGAGCAGCUAGGUGUUGUUCGCCUGCGUUCACGAUGAGUGAGCUCUGAAAGGAGUAUCGCUUUCGCUAUACGCAUGAUGAUUAGCUUCUAUGUAUGUAUGCGUGUAUGACUUAGAUUAGACUGUGGGCCGCGAGAGCCGGGGGCCGAAGCCGAAACACAGCGCAAGGGUCGGGAGCACACAGCACAAGUCGGUUAGUCUUGUGUGCUCCCGACCCCGACUCAGACUGCCAACACUCUACGCAGCCACUCUGCAGCCCGAUGGCGCUGCAGUGAAAACACCACAAAGGGCUCUCAGGUCCCGCUAGAACGAGUCCACAAGGUGCGUGUAUGUAUGUAUGUAUGUAUGGGCGUAUGUGACACCAAAUCAAAGGAUGUAUGUAGGCGGCAUAAAGAGACCGCCGCCACACUGCCGGUUCAUUUGAGGACCCCCUAAAAACAUUGUGACGGCAGAUCUAAUAAAGUUUAACUCCUUUUCCGAAAGGGGGGCGCUGGAGCUGCAAACUGUUGUAAAGAUAAAAUAAAAUAAAAAUGCCGUCAUCAUCGAAUUAAUGAAAGAACCCACAGCGGCAAUCAUGUCGGUAGCCGCAUUAGUCGAAGGUGGAGCAGGAAGUUGUCCAUGGCUGCCUGUCCUUCAGACGGCUGGUCUUCUCCAUUAGCCACAUACGAUGACGCGUGACUUCGCCAUGUACGGCAGAUGUAUGUUGCAAGUUGCUGAUAACCUGGUGAUGAAAUGGGCAUCGUUUCCAUGUUAAUUACAGGCAGAAAAAAAUAAUUUUUUACUAAAUGCAAUUCCGUUUGUAAUGUUCAAGGGUCGGCGAAGGGAGGGCGCAAGCGCAGAAACGAUCGCCACGUAUAUUGCUGGCAGACGCUGCUGCUGGCAAAGCGUGCGGCGCACCGGGCCCCGAACGGCGGUUGAUAAGCAACCGCCGCUAAGUGCCGCAAUUCAUGUCAGUUUGAUUCUGUCCCGUGCGUCCUGUUUUGGAGUAUGGUAGAAGGAAAGCCGCCAGGGCCCUUUCAGGCAGAUCACCAAACCGCCGCGAGUCGGCCCGGCAAUGGCAUGUAUCCCUAGAGAAAAUGUGAUAAGCGUGUAGUAUAUGAAAACUGGAUUGGAAUAAACUGCGACUUUUAUUUCCAACUACGCUAGAUCAGUCAGAGCACAGCAGCAUAUAUACCGGGAGAUAUCUGUAACUUAGGUUGGAUAGCCUAUGGCUAAGUUAUCAUUGCACGCUGCCAGCGUUUGUAAACUGCAAAAAUAGAUAUGUUUACGCGCUUUAAAGAAAGAUCUCCAAGACAGUUGAAGACGCCAGCAGAUGCAUGGGAGGUGCGAAGGAGCGAAAUACGAGUCGCGCACCCCUUCCACUAAGCGAGAUUACGCCCUUAGGUGUGGCGAACAUGAUCCCUACGAACUAUGGUGUCCACGAUGUUUUCUUUAAGAUUUUGAUAUAAAAUAAUUUAUUUUCUAUCGAUUGAUGCUUAAAUUUCAGAGACGCGGUC